UUCAGCAUUUCAAAACUUUAUUAACCUAUCACCCGACGUUGGAGUUUUUAACCUGACAUGGUAAACCCACGCCGUUUUCAAAAAUUUCACUUUUUAUUUAAUCCAAAAUUAUAUUUUUAAUCAUCGGUCCGUCGUAGUUUUUUGUAAGAGAAAUUUUUCCACAUGAUCAUUUUUUCACGUGUUCAUCAUUCUUAGUUUUUGACGUCGUACCUGAAGACGCUUUUAGAAAAAGCGAAACAUUGUUGUACCGAAAUUAGAAAAAAAUAAUAAAUAAUCAUCGUGGA